GUAGGUACUCCAUUGUCUGACGGAUCUGAGAACGCUGUCUGGGCUUCGUGCCAAGGGCUGGUAUUCACACAGCAACGACGGCCUCACAGAAGAGCUGUGGGAAGCAGGAGGGCGAGCCUCUCUUAGGGUGCCACUACUAUGGAGACACAGCUGGGCUGAACAAGAUUUGCUUCAAACGACAACAAGAGAGACAGAAAGUAUCUGAUUCAACCGCUGCCCAAGCAGGCAGGCACCAGAAGAGCUAGCAGCCAAUCCGGCCAUGCUCGAAGCCAGUCCUGCAGCUCAGCCAAUCAGUGACAUCAUUGGACAUCUCUUCAGAUUGCUCAUCAUGAUAUGAAGAUGAAACUUAAUAGCAAUAACCAAUGGAUGCUUUUCUUGGAUUCAGUCCAACACUCUGGAGACCAGAUCUUCAGGAAUGUAACUGGGAUAAUUGUCCAAAUUGAAUCCCAUACCCUGUCAUGGGAAUCUUGAGGAACCCAUUAAUGUAAAGCUGCGGCCAGAGUUCCAUGAGGAGGCAGAAUGUUCUAGAUGAUCCCUGUCUCUUCUCCAUUGAGGAAGUCGUUUCUUGCCUCUCUGUAAGCUCAGUUAAUCAUACCAGAAUAGGAGUCCUGUCUUAACUGAGCAAUAUACACUAUGGAGAGAUCCUUCAAAACCCGUCGGGACGAAUAACAGAUGAAUUCAUAAAACUGUUCAUCUCUGUUAUCCUGAAUGGUCACUCAGACAACAUUUUACUCAACUAUAAAGGGGAACACUUAAAGUGCAUAUGAGAAGAGAAGAGAAUGACCACAGGAGAAAAUCAUCUCAGGUAAAACGAAAAGGCACAAAUGUAGAGAGUAAUUAAUCUUAGAAUAUUAAAGAGAAAAUGAUUAUGUCUGUGUUUGUUAUAAGAAAUGGUCCUUCCCUUUAUGAAGCUACGUAUUUGGGAUUUUCACUGAUGGUUUUCCUUCAAGAGUUUACAGUAUUACUUGCCUUUGUCAACCUUUUGUUUGGUUUUGUGAUCAAUGCCCAGUGUCCAUCAUUCUGAGGACAUAUCUGUAUGUUGAUUUAUACAAUUCAGGUACAAGAUGGUUGAAUAGGAAGCUAUUUAAUGAAAAGGAAAAUAUGUUCUCAGUGGUUAUACAUUAUAAAAGGAAGUAAAAAUCUGAUAGAAAAGUAUAAGCUCAUAGUUUAUUUUUAAUCUUUUCCAUAUAUCUAGUAAGACAAUAAUGUCAAAGUAUAUUUUGUAGUAAUAAAAGCUACAGCCAGUGUUUCCUCUUUUUUUUUUUAACAUAAAAUGUAUAAAUAUAUAAGGAAAUACUUUUACUACAAUUGGAUGCAUGAUUGUUGAUUAUUUACUACAGUUUUAAUAAGUAGGAGAAUGAUUUGAAAAUAAAUAAUGGUGAAAAUUUGUGUAGGCCAAAUUAUCUGUAUUAAACUGGAGAAAAUACAUUCUAUUUUUAUUUAUUUCAAAACAUGCCAAAUCAUGAAGUAAUUACUAUGCAGUAUUAUUUUUCACAAUGAAGAUAUAAUUAAGAAAAGCUAAAUCAUUUUAGAUAUGAGUGCAAUGAUUAACGAUUGUACAACUUAUAAUUUUGCUUCAGAUGAGCUUAGAAUCCUAAAAAUGUACAUGUAACUGGCUUCAUGUGUGCUUACUGGCUUGCUUUCUUACAGUGUAGUAGCUGACAGAAUUAAGAAUCAUUUAUUUCAUUUCAACCUGUUGAACAGAGGAAUUAUAUGUAGCUGUGUAUUUUGUUGAAAGGAUAUAGUUCUUGGGAAAUAGAUUUAAAUGUGUUUUGUUGAAAGGGAAUGUAUGCUCCUUGGUGUGAUAUAAGCGACUACAAAUAUUCCAGAAUAGCAGGAAUAACACCGAUCAUGUCAUUGAUUUUAGGGUUUUUUGAUACCAUAUCUUUUCCUCACUGCUGUAAAAGUUUAAUUUCAUCCCCACUGUAGGCACAUGUCUGUACAUCUAGAAUUUGUGGGUUUUGUGUUCUUUACCUAGUCAACAAGACCUCAUUUGUUUAUAAAAAGCUAUAAUGUGACUAAAUCUCAAAAAUCAUUAACUGAGUUUUAUGUGAAUAAAUACAGUCACUCUAGUGCAUAUACAGUUUAAUAACUUCCUUUUUAGUUGUAGACUUAUCAUACUAUAUCUGUGCCUCACAACAGUAUAAUUUGUAUGUACAUAUAUUAGGUUCUCAAUUAGGACAUUUUAACAACAACGUUAAAAUAUUCACAGUUUAAAACAAAAGCAAUCUUUAAAAAAGAAAAAAAUCAAGAAGAAAAGAGAGAAGU
ensembl:processed_transcript